CAGUCGCCGCGGUAAUACGUAGGUGGCAAGCGUUGUCCGGAAUUAUUGGGCGUAAAGCGCGCGCAGGUGGUUUAAUAAGUCUGAUGUGAAGCCCACGGCUCAACCGUGGAGGGUCAUUGGAAACUGUUAAACUUGAGUGCAGGAGAGAAAAGUGGAAUUCCUAGUGUAGCGGUGAAAUGCGUAGAGAUUAGGAGGAACACCAGUGGCGAAGGCGGCUUUUUGGCCUGUAACUGACACUGAGGCGCGAAAGCGUGGGGAGCAAACAGGAUUAGAUACCCGCGUAGUCCCUGUCUCUUAUACA
rnacentral:rRNA from 1 species